AUUGAACGCUGGCGGCAUGCUUUACACAUGCAAGUCGAACGGCAGCGCGGGCUUCGGCCUGGCGGCGAGUGGCGAACGGGUGAGUAAUGCAUCGGAACGUGCCCAGUAGUGGGGGAUAGCCCGGCGAAAGCCGGAUUAAUACCGCAUACGACCUGAGGGUGAAAGCGGGGGACCGAAAGGCCUCGCGCUAUUGGAGCGGCCGAUGUCGGAUUAGCUAGUUGGUGGGGUAAAGGCUUACCAAGGCGACGAUCCGUAGCUGGUCUGAGAGGACGACCAGCCACACUGGGACUGAGCCACGGCCCAGACUCCUACGGGAGGCAGCAGUGGGGAAUUUUGGACAAUGGGGGCAACCCUGAUCCAGCCAUGCCGCGUGCGGGAAGAAGGCCUUCGGGUUGUAAACCGCUUUUGUUCGGGAAGAAAUCCUCUGGGCUAAUACCCCGGGGGGAUGACGGUACCGGAAGAAUAAGCACCGGCUAACUACGUG
rnacentral:rRNA from 1 species